CACUUCCGGCCUUGCGCGCUCAGGGUCUGAACGCAACGGGCGCCAAGACGGUCAGCCUGAGGUUUAACCCCUUCGUUACCUCGGACUGCAGCAAAAACCGCAAACGGCACUUCAGUGCGCCCUCGCACGUGCGCAGGAAGAUCAUGUCUUCCCCACUCUCCAUGCUUCCCUCUUCUCUCUGCCAAAUCCAGUACCACCAAAUGCCCAACCUCUGCUAAACCCAAUACUACUGAGACAUUACUCUUACCACAGCACUUUCUCCUGGAGAAUUUGGUUCAAAGAGUCACCCUGAGCAAAGCCUGGAAAACUUGCAUCGAAAACUUAAAUCGAAAAGCAAAGUUUUGCUUGGCUGGUAUAUAUACCGCUCUCCAAGGAGCUGCGACAGAAGUACAGCGUCCGCUGCGUGCCCAUCCGCAAGGACGACGAGGUCCAGAGAGAAGAGGGAAGCAGCAAGUCAGAAGCAUGAAAUUAUGAAAGAGAAUGAUCCUUGUGAGAAAGUAUAAGCUGUCUGUUCUUCCUAGAGCUUUGGAUGUGUGGCAUACUGGGCCCACCUGCAGCUGCUGGAGCUCAUCUUCCUCCAGACCGUGUACCCCGACAUCUGCCCGUGCCAGUGCCUGUCUGCGCUCACCCUGCUCCCUGAGUCCAGGAUCCAGGUGUGGUUCCAGAACAGGUGUGCCAAGUCACGGCAUCACAGCUGGAAGUCCUUUCAACCUUCAGUCAGACCGGAGCUUUGACUCCACCACUCUGCUCAUGGAACUGAAGCAAAAUGAAUUGAAGUCCCAGCUGCCUCUUGAGAUAAUGUGAACUGGUCGCCUCAUCCCAGCAGGGUUGGAGAGGGCAUCUCUACCCUGGCUCUCAAGGACACACUACAAAGGUCAGCAAAUUGGCAAGGUGGUCCAGGUGUACAGAAAGAAAUAUGUCAUCUACAUCGAGCGCGUACAGCGUAAGAAGGCUAAUGGGACAACUGUCCAUGUGGGCAUUCACCCGAGCAAGGUGGUUAUCACCAGGCUAAAGCUGGACAAAGAUCGGAAAAAAAUUCUCGAACACAAAGCCAAAUCUCGACAGGUUGGAAAAGAGAAAGGCAAAUAUAAGGAAGAACUUAUUGAGAAAAUGCAGGAGUGAAUGUAACCUGUUGUGCAAGCACAGUUUAACUGUAGACCUUUAGCCGGUGUGUGUUCCUUUGAAACUCUUCAAGACAUCUGCCAAACAUUUCAUCUCCUUCCUGUUUUGCUAUUGAUAAUGUAGCUUUGUAAAUCCACUUUUACUGUUUUGAUUACUAAUUUUAUGAAUAACAAUUGAAAAUGUUUCCUAA